UACGUAGGGGCGAGCGUUGUCCGGAAUUAUUGGGCGUAAAGGGCGCGCAGGCGGUCUUCUAAGUCUGAUGUGAAAGCCCACGGCUUAACCGUGGAGGGUCAUUGGAAACUGGAGGACUUGAGUACAGAAGAGGAGAGUGGAAUUCCACGUGGAGCGGUGAAAUGCGUAGAGAUGUGGAGGAACACCAGUGGCGAAGGCGACUCUCUGGUCUGUAACUGACGCUGAGGUGCGAAAGCGUGGGUAGCGAACAGGAUUAGAUACCCGCGUAGU
rnacentral:rRNA from 1 species